ACCGAAUGUUAGGGUUCACCAUUCUCUCCGAUCUCCGACAAGGACGAUGCUCACAUUUGCUCAUCCACAACAACAAUGAAGUUUCCAGAAAUUGAGUUGCUAAAAUGGGCGUAUACAUCCUCUUUAUCGCAUUCUUAACUCCAACGACUCACAAGAACACGAUCUACCAUUCAAUGCAACUCUAUCUUCUCUAAGGCGGUGUAACUACACAUAUAAAAAGUUUAUUCGUGGAUUGAUUAUCAACAUCAAGGAGCUUUCUCCUGCUGCUUCGGAUAUGGACAUGGUUUUAGACAGUAUACAAAGCUCAAAUGAAGGUGAAUCCCAGGGGAUACUAUCAGUAAGUGAUCCAAAACUUUCACAAACAAGAAAAGAAGGCUUGCCAUUUGCACCUGAAGCACAAGAGCUUGCGGAUACUGGAUCUUACUUUGGCUUCUGCUCCAUUACCAGACAAGCCAGCUUCACAGAUGGCUAAGACAAUAGUACAAUGUCAAUAAAGCGAGAUGGAGAGCGACGAGGAGCGACUGAGCAGGCGGUGUAGAGUAACGGAGCAAGCGGCGUUGAGCUGAUGGAGCAAGUGACGGAGAGAGUGAGCAAAGUUUCUGUGAAUGGAGGGAUGAAAGUUGAGGUGGAGGAGUCUGACAUGACUCUAUAGGCUGUUGCUCAGUUUUGAUGGCAUCGAACCAGAAGUGAAAGCUAUAGUACAACAAUAACGCAAAGAUUUGAAUAAGAUACUCUUGGAUCUUGCGUCAAGGAAGUGUUGUUGUUUACCUCGAUGCAUCAUUCGUUAAGCUGUUGGUUUUAAAACACCACCACCACAAAAAGCAGAAGAAUUUUUUUUGGUUGAAGAACUGGC